rnacentral:rRNA from 1 species
UGGCCGAGCAAGUUCGUCGGGAAAUCCACUCGCCUAACGAGUGGGCGUCCGGCGAAAACUGUUCGGCUUGGGACCGGAAGACCUGAAGGGUACGUCUGGGGUAGGAGUGAAAUCCCGUAAUCUUGGACGGACCACCGAUGGCGAAAGCACUUCAGGAGGACGGAUCCGACAGUGAGGGACGAAAGCUAGGGUCUCGAACCGGAUUAGAUACCCGGGUAGUCCUAGCCGUAAACGAUGCUCGCUAGGUGUGGCACAGGCUACGAGCCUGUGCUGUGCCGUAGGGAAGCCGUGAAGCGAGCCGCCUGGGAA